rnacentral:rRNA from 1 species
CCUACGGGAGGCAGCAGUGAGGAAUAUUGGUCAAUGGACGAGAGUCUGAACCAGCCAAGUAGCGUGAAGGAUGACUGCCCUAUGGGUUGUAAACUUCUUUUAUAUGGGAAUAAAAUGUUCCACGUGUGGGAUUUUGUAUGUACCAUAUGAAUAAGGAUCGGCUAACUCCGUGCCAGCAGCCGCGGUAAUACGGAGGAUCCGAGCGUUAUCCGGCUUUAUUGGGUUUAAAGGGAGCGUAGGUGGGUUGUUAAGUCAGUUGUGAAAGUUUGCGGCUCAACCGUAAAAUUGCAGUUGAAACUGGCAGUCUUGAGUACAGUAGAGGUGGGCGGAAGUCGUGGUGUAGCGGUGAAAUGCUUAGAUAUCACGAAGAACUCCGAUUGCGAAGGCAGUUCACUGGACUGCAACUGACACUGAGGCUCGAAAGUGUGGGUAUCAAACAGGAUUAGAUACCCUUGUAGUC